AAAAGAUUUCCGAAACAUCAUUAGGGACUUUAAGAACCGAGAACGCGGCGGGUCUAGGACGCGACCGGAAGUGUUUUUUUCACAUUUUGCCCAACAGCGCAUGCGCAUGAAGUUCUCUCUUCUUGGCGGGAACGCGACGAAUCGAGUUUUGAAGUGCUGUAGAAAACCAGGUGUGUUCAACCAUGGCAUCAAACGUGCGAGAUGCAAAGGACAAACCUUUAAACAAUGUGAUCAUGUACUGGUCGACUGUCACAGACAAAGAAGAGAGAUUUCAGAGAGGGUGAUGUGGAUGUAAAACCUAAGCGACAAAGAAGGAAGGGAGGAGAUGCAAUUGAGUUUUUGAAAGAGAGAGCUGACAAAAACAGUGAACUUAGAGAAAAGGAGCUCAACAU